rnacentral:rRNA from 1 species
AGAGUUUGAUGGUGGCUCACACAAGCGGUGGAGCAUGUGGCUUAAUUCGAAGCAACGCGAAGAACCUUAUCCUGGACUUGACAUGUAUGGAUUAGCUGUUGGAAACAUCAGUGACACUCUUGAGUGGAACAUACACAGGUGCUGCAUGGCUGUCGUCAGCUCGUGCUGUGAAGUGUCGGGUUAAGUCCCUUAACGAGCGCAACCCCUAUUGCUAGUUGCCAGCGCGUAAUGGCGGGGACUCUAGCGAGACUGCCGGUGUCAAACCGGAGGAAGGUGGGGAUGACGUCAAGUCAGCAUGGCCCUUAUGUCCAGGGCUGCACACGUGCUACAAUGGUGCAUACAGAGCGACGCGAGACCGCAAGGUGGAGCAAAUCGCAAAAAGUGCACCCCAGUUCGGAUUGCAGGCUGCAACUCGCCUGCAUGAAGUUGGAAUCGCUAGUAAUCGGAGAUCAGCUACGCUCCGGUGAAUACGUUCCUGAGCCUUGUACACACCGCCCGUCACGUCAUGGAAGCCGGGAGUGCCCGAAGUCGCCGCGAUUCAGCGGUGCCCACGGCAAGUUCGGUGACUGGGACGAAGUCGUAACAAGGUACCCG